rnacentral:rRNA from 1 species
AGCAGCCGCGGUAAUUCCAGCUCCAAUAGCGUAUAUUAAAGUUGCUGCAGUUAAAAAGCUCGUAGUUGAAUUUCGGGACCAAUAUGUCGGUCGUGCCUCGGUACGUACUGGCAUCGUUGGUUUCUCCCUUCUGACGAACCAUGAUGUCAUUUAUUUGGUGUCGUGGGGAAUCAGGACUGUUACUUUGAAAAAAUUAGGGUGUUUAAAGCAGGCUAACGCUUGAAUACAUUAGCAUGGAAUAAUGAAAUAGGACGUUCGAUCCUAUUUUGUUGGUUUCUAGGAUUGACGUAAUGAUUAAUAGGGAUAGUUGGGGGCAUUAGUGUUCAAUUGUCAGAGGUGAAAUUCUUGGAUUUAUUGAAGACUAACUACUGCGAAAGCAUUUGCCAAGGAUGUUUUCAUUAAUCAAGAACGAAAGUUAAGGGGAUCGAAGACGAUCAGAUACCGUCGUAGUCUUAACCAUAAACUAUAGCGACUAGGGAUCGGAUGAUGUUAAUUUUUAAUGACUCAUUCGGNGCCUUAG